GCCCUAAAUUUAGCCCGUAAUUAUUUUAUAAAAUUUUUAUCCUUAAAUUUAUUAAAUAAAACAUUUUAACUCCUUAAGUAAAGGCGAUUGAAAAAGCUCUAAGCGCUAUAGAAAUAGUACCGCAAGGGAAAAAUGAAAUAAUAAUGAAACAAUUAAAGCUACUUACAGCAGAGAAUUUACCUCGUACCUUUUGCAUCAUGGCCUAGCAAGACUUAAUAAGCAAAAUGAAAUUUAAGUUUUAAACCCCGAACCUAGGCGAGCUACUUUAAAACAGCCUAUUGGGCUAACCCGUCUCUGUGGCAAUAGAGUGGGGUGAUUUUUAAGUAGAAGUGAAAAGCCUACCGAGCCUAGAAAUAGCUGGUUAUUCAUGAAAAGAAUAUAAGUUCUGCCUUAAGCUUCCCACGAUGAACCUCAACAACAUUCAACGCUUAAGAGUUAUUUAAAUAAGGAACAGCUUAUUUAAGCCAGGACACAACCUAAGCAGCAGGGUAAAAUCUUAACACUACCAAGUGGGCCUGAAAGCAGCCACCUUUUGAAACGCGUCAAAGCGUAACUUUAACACCCAAAAUACCAUUAAUUUUUAUGAACCCCUAAUUUAUAAUGAAUGACUCCAUAUUUAUAUGGAAGACACCAUGCUAGGAUUAGUAACAAGAAUUUAUAAUUCUCCAAAAUGCAAAUAUAAACCAACAUGGAUAGACCAUUGGUAGUUACCGAACCUAAAUUUAAUGCAAUAACAUCCACAAGAAAACUCUGCAGCACUCACUCGUUAACCUAACACCAGCGCAUUACAGGAAAGAUUCAAAAAAAGAGAAGGAAUUCGGCAAAUGACGGCCCCGCCUGUUUACCAAAAACAUCGCCUCUUGACUUAUAAUAAGAGGUCUAGCCUGCCCAGUGAAUUUUAAACGGCCGCGGUAUCCUAACCGCGCGAAGGUAGCAUAAUCACUUGUUCUUUAAAUGGGGACUCGUAUCAACGGCAUCACGAGGGUUUUACUGUCUCCUCUUUUUGAUCAGUGAAAUUGAUCUUCCCGUGAAGAAGCGGGAAUAUUUUUAUAAGACGAGAAGACCCCAUGGAGCUUUAAACCAAAUAACAACUUAACCACUUAUCCCAUAAUAAAUUUAACCCCUGUUAUAAGGUUUUUGGUUGGGGUGACCGCGGAGUAAAGCACAUCCUCCACGACGGAAAGAAUAAAAUCUUUAUUUAAGAACCACACUUCUAGAAAUUAGUAUACUAACGUUUACUGACCCGACAAUCGAUCAACGGACCAAGUUACCCUGGGGAUAACAGCGCAAUCUACUUCGAGAGCUCAUAUCGACAAGUAGGCUUACGACCUCGAUGUUGGAUCAGGGUAUCCCGGUGGUGCAGCCGCUACCGAAGGUUCGUUUGUUCAACGAUUAAAACCCUACGUGAUCUGAGUUCAGACCGGAGCAAUCCAGGUCGGUUUCUAUCUAUAAAGAGUUACUUCUAGUACGAAAGGACCGAAGUAACGUGGCCAAUACACCUCCAAGCCAUAAAUUUUACUAAUGAUAACAACUUAAUUAGCAAGUAUCUACUUAAUUAUUAAAGUCAAUAAUUU
rnacentral:rRNA from 1 species